rnacentral:rRNA from 1 species
GACGAACGCUGGCGGCGUGCCUAAUACAUGCAAGUCGAGCGGACGAUUCGAAAGCUUUCUUUUGAAUCUUUAGCGGCGGACGGGUGAGUAACACGUGGUCAACCUGCCCUGUAGACGGGGAUAACACCGAGAAAUCGGUUCUAAGACCGGAUAACACGAAAUGUCUCAUUACGUUCCGUUUAAAGUCGGCGCAUGCUGCCGCUACAGCCUACGCCAGCGGCGCACUAGCUCGGUGGUGAGGUAACGGCUCACCAAGGCGACGAUGCGUAGCCGACCUGAGAGGGUGAUCGGCCACACUGGGAGUGAGGCACGGCCCAGACACCGACGGGAGGCAACAGUAGGGAAUCUUCCGCAAUGGACGAAAGGCGGACGGAGCAACGCCGCGUGAGGGAAGAAGGCGUUCGGGUGGGAAAGCGCUGUUGUUAGGGAAGAACAAGUGACGUAGUAACUGACGUUACUAUGACGGUACCGAAAGAGAAAGCCACGGCUAACUACGUG